rnacentral:rRNA from 1 species
AACGAACGCUGGCGGCAGGCUUAACACAUGCAAGUCGAGCGCCCCGCAAGGGGAGCGGCAGACGGGUGAGUAACGCGUGGGAAUCUACCCAUCUCUACGGAAUAACGCAUGGAAACGUGUGCUAAUACCGUAUACGUCCUUCGGGAGAAAGAUUUAUCGGAGAUGGAUGAGCCCGCGUUGGAUUAGCUAGUUGGUGGGGUAAAGGCCUACCAAGGCGACGAACCAUAGCUGGUCUGAGAGGAUGAUCAGCCACACUGGGACUGAGACACGGCCCAGACUCCUACGGGAGGAAGCAGUGGGGAAUAUUGGACAAUGGGCGCAAGCCUGAUCCAGCCAUGCCGCGUGAGUGAUGAAGGCCCUAGGGUUGUAAAGCUCUUUCACCGGUGAAGAUAAUGACGGUAACCGGAGAAGAAGCCCCGGCUAACUUCGUGCCAGCCGCCGCCGUAAAAC